GGACCCGCACAAGUAGUGGAGCAUGUGGUUUAAUUCGAUGAUACGCGAGGAACCUUACCAGGGCUUAAAUGCAGAGCGAAUAGUUUGGAAACAGACUAGCCUUCGGGCGAUCUGCAAGGUGCUGCAUGGCUGUCGUCAGCUCGUGCCGUGAGGUGUUGGUUAAGUCCCGCAACGAGCGCAACCCCUAUCGUUAGUUGCCAGCGGGUCAUGCCGGGAACUCUAGCGAAACUGCCGGUGCAAACCGAGAGGAAGGUGGGGAUGACGUCAAAUCAUCACGGCCCUUACGUGUUGGACUACACACGUGCUACAAUGGUAUUUACAACAGGAAGCAAGACGGCGACGUUAAGCA
rnacentral:rRNA from 1 species